AUAUGGUCAAGCGAAUAUAGGUUUAUGGUGGAUGCCUAGGAGCUGUAAGACGAAGAAGGACGUGAUAAGCUGCGAUAAGCCGGGGUUAGGAGCACAUAUCCGCAAACCCCCGGAUUUCCGAAUGGAGUAAUCCGGUGAAAUACACCAUCUCGAUAUCUGAAUAUAUAGGAUAGAGAAGUCAAACUGAGUGAAGUGAACCAUCUAAGUAACUCGGGAACAGAAAUCAAAAGAGAUUCCCCCAGUAGCGGUGAGCGAAGAGGGAAGAGCCCAAACCGCGUAAAGCGGGGUUGUAGGACUGCGAUAUGGAGUAGGCAGUAAAUCAGUUUGUAGGAGAAGCUUCUGGGAAGGAGCGUCAAAGAGAGUGAAAGCCUCGUAUCCGAAACAAACUGACUCCUAGCAGAAUCCUGAGUAUGGCGGGGCACGUGAAACCCUGUCAGAAUCCGGGUCGACCACGAUCCAAGGCUAAAUACUAGACAGCUACCGAUAGUGAACAAGUACCGUGAGGGAAAGGCGAAAAGAACCCCUGUAAGGGGAGUGAAAUAGAACCUGAAACCAUAAACUGACAAGAUGUCACAGCCCGCAAGGGUAGUGGCGUGUCUUUUGUAGAAUAAACCUGCGAGUUGCGUUAUGCAGCGAGGAUAAGAAAUAGAAGUUUUGGAUCCGAAGCGAAAGCGAGUCUGAAAAGGGCGAUAAGUUGCAUGACGCAGACCCGAAGCCAAGGUGAUCUAGUCAUGAGCAGGUUGAAGCAGGGGUAAAACCCUGUGGAGGACCGAACAGUAAUCUGUUAAAAAAGGUAGUGAUGACUUGUGACUAGGAGUGAAAGGCUAAACAAACCUGGAAAUAGCUGGCUCUCCCCGAAAUGCCUUUAGGGACAGCCUCAUAAAAAGUUACCGGAGGUAAAGCACUGGAUGGAAAAGGGGGAGUUAAAUCUUUCCGAUUUCAAUCAAACUCUGAAUGCCGGUAACCAGCUUAUGGGAGUGAGACUGCGUGCGCCAAGGUUCGUAGUCGAAAGGGAAACAGCCCAAACCGGCAAUUAAGGUCCCAAAUUUAUGCUAAGUGUUAAAUGAAGUGAAGAUGCACAGACAGCCAGGAGGUUGGCUUAGAAGCAGCCAUUCCUUAAAAGAGUGCGUAACAGCUCACUGGUCGAGCAUUUUUGCGCAGACAAUGUAACGGGGCUAAGCAUAAAACCGAAAUUCCGGAUUCAUGACAGAAGUUAUGAGUGGUAGGGGAGCAUUGAAUUAACUGACGAAGGAAUACCUGUGAGGGGUUCUGGAGGAGAUUCAAGAGAGAAUGCAGGCAUAAGUAACGAAAAAGCGGGUGCGAUCCCCGCUCGCCGAAAACCUAAGGUUUCCAGGGUAAAGGCAAUCUGCCCUGGGUAAGUCGGCCCCUAAGACGAGGACGAAAGUCGUAGCCGAUGGGAAACUGGUUUAUAAUCCAGUACUUAUUGAGUUUUGAUGGAAUGACGCAUGAGGUGAAAUCCGGCCGGGCGACGGUAGUCCCGGUCAAAGCAGCGAGUUUAUGAGGUUCUGGUUAAAAGAAGAACCAAGAUGAGCUGUGACAGCGAGGAACCAGAAAGUGGGACUGAAGCGGACGUAAUCAUGGUGACGAGAAAUAGUUCCUAAGUAAGGCUUAGUAAACCGUACCGGAAACCGACACAGGUAGGUAGGAUGAGUAAUCUAAGGCGCUCGAGCGAACUCGCGUUAAGGAACUCGGCAAAAUGCGCACGUAACUUCGGAAGAAGUGCGGCUCCCUUUAGAAAUACAGGGAGUGACACAAAGCAGGCCCAGGCGACUGUUUAUCAAAAACACAGCCAUCUGCGAACCAGCAAUGGGACGUAUAGGUGGUGACACCUGCCCGGUACUGGAAGGUUAAGAGGAGAUGUUAUCCGUAAGGAGAAGCAUUGAAUCGAAGCCCCAGCAAACGGCGGCCGUAACUAUAACGGUCCUAAGGUAGCGAAAUUCCUUGUCGGGUAAGUUCCGACCCGCACGAAUGGUGUAACGAUUCUGGGCACUGUCUCAACGCGAGACUCGGUGAAAUUUAUAUUCCGGUAAAGAAGCCGGAUACCCGUAAUUAGACGGAAAGACCCCGUGAACCUUCACCGUAACUUAAUAUUGGGAUUCUAUUCAUCAUGUGUAGGAUAGCUGGGAGGCAGAGAAGCGUGGCCGUCAGGUUGCGUGGAGCCGCCGGUGAAAUACCAGCCUUGAUGAAUGGGAUUUCUAACCGUGACCUUGAAGCAGGUUGCGGGACAAUGUUAGGCAGGCGGUUUGACUGGGGCGGUCGCCUCCAAAAGAGUAACGGAGGUGCGCGAAGGUCUCCUCGCGGUGGUUGGAAAUCAUCGUACGAGUGUAAAGGCACAAGGAGGCUUGACUGAGAGAUAGACAUAUCGAUCAGGUACGAAAGUAGGUCUUAGUGAUCUGAUGGUGCUGAGUGGAAAGGCCAUCACUUAACGGAUAAAAGGUACUCCGGGGAUAACAGGCUGAUUUUCCCCAAGAGUUCACAUCGACGGGAAAGUUUGGCACCUCGAUGUCGGCUCAUCAUAUCCUGGGGCUGGAGCAGGUCCCAAGGGUUUGGCUGUUCGCCAAUUAAAAUGGUACGUGAGCUGGGUUCAGAACGUCGCGAGACAGUUCGGUCCCUAUCUGUUACGGGCGUUGGAAGUUUGAGAGGAGCUGCUUUUAGUACGAGAGGACCGAAGCGGACGAACCUCUGGUUUACCAGUUAUCCUGCCAAGGGUAAGUGCUGGGUAUCUAAGUUCGGAAGGGAUAACCGCUGAAAGCAUCUAAGUGGGAAGCCCACCUCAAGAUUAUACUUCCCUGAGGGUUCAACCCUCCUUAAGACUCCUGGGAGACUACCAGGUUGAUAGGAUGCAGGUGUAAGCGCUGUGAGGCGUUCAGCCGAGCAUUACUAAUAAGUCGUGAGGCUUGACCAUAUU
rnacentral:rRNA from 1 species